GGUCAGGUCACUGUCUCCAUGUAAUUCCAUUGUGAUAGUCUGUCUCAGAUUCCAUAUAUGGUGAACUACUUCCAUCUGAGACGCAGAGAGAUUAUGACGUAUGGGGCCCGGGUCAAAAGUAGUCCACUAUAAUGGGAACUGGAUGCUAUUUGGGAUGUAUCCCUGUGUCUGCACUUAUUAUCGUUAUUACCAUGUCAUCUAGUUUUUCUGGGAGUUUGAUAAUGUAAGAGCGCUGCGCCGUGAUAUACCCUCUGAAUCUAGAUCACACCAUCUGCAUACCAAGCUCAUAUAUUUAUCAGUAAUUUUGUACGCUUGGGCCAGUGAAUCAAUCAUUAGAACGUGAUCAGUGAGUUAACGACUUAUAGAGUAGUUAGGUGUUAGAGAAUUAGUGAUAUUUUUAUGCUACUCUACAAGUCUCCUUUAUCCCAACACCAUCCACAUUACCAGGUGGUGAGAGGGGGCUCUGGUGGAUCAGACCCCCAGGAACGGUGCUCCAUGCUGGGUGAUCAGACGGCGGGAGACGAUGCUGUGGUGGGGGUGGAGACCCACCGUGGGCCUGCUGAGAGCAGUGAUCUCACCAUGACUGACAAGGAGAGGCCUGGCUCUGCUGCUGCUGCUGCCAGAGAAAGCAACGAGACCGUGAGAAGGAACGCUGACAGUGAUGGAACCCUAGAUGAUCAGUGUUCUAUGUGUUUUACUCCUCUCCACAAGAGGAAGAACAAUGGCUCCAAUGAGGUUUGUGGCAAAACAUCUCAGAUAUUUUGUAAGGUAAUAGAAUUGUUACCUGUAUAAUUAUUUUACCAUUCGAGGAGUUACCUGUUAUUUUAUCAUCGUUACUCAUGUGUUAUGGAUUGUAAUACUCAACCCUCUGUCCCAUAGAACGACAAUCAGAAAAGUUUGGCAUCCAGCCGAACUCACUGUACCAAGUCUGACACCAGGUAUGAAUAAGUCAGUAGGUCUCUUGCCCUGAAGGGCUGGGUGGUGCAUGGCAGUUAUAGGCUCUUCACUGCAAAACAGCGGUUUGUUGCACGAACCGUUGCCCUCUUCCUCUUUUGUCACUGGGUGGGGUGUGGCUCGUCAUCUAGUUGUUGCCAUGACAACCCUCUUGUGUGAGUGUUGAGGCAUCACAGGAGUCUGAGGGUGUUUUCAAAUAUAGUCCUCUUUAAAAUAACUGAUCUCAGUCCUCUUUAAAGUGAACUCUGGGGUAAAAAAAAAGUGAAAGAACUCAGUUCUCUUUGUAUUCACACUGCCCUUGAGGACUCAACUCUUUUGCCAGUUCACUUCACCUAUUUUGUGAUCCGAGUCAUCUUUGCAAUCACAUUGCUAUGUUUAGAAAGGAAACAAGAUCUUUUCCCAACAUUCACUCAGUGCACUCUGGGUUUUAACCAUGUGCAGGACAAGCCAUUCCAUUAGAAUGUGUUAUCAGACAGCUAGAUAUACACUAUAUAUACAAAAUUAUGUGGACACCCCUUCAAAUGAGUGGAUUUGGCUAUUUCAGCCACACCAGCUGCCCCAGUCAACUGUAAGGGCUGUUAUUUUGACGUGGAAACGUCUAAGAGCAACAACGGCUCAGCCGCAAAGUGUAAAGCCACACAAGCUCACAGAACGGGACUGCCGAGGACUGAAGAGUAUAAAAAUCGUCUGUCCUCAGUUGCAACACUUACUAUCGACUUCCAAACUGCCUCUGGAAGCAAGGUCAUCACAAUAACUGUUUGUCGGGAGCUUCAUGAAAUGGGUUUCCAUGGCCGAGCAGCCGCACACAAGCCUAAGACCACCAUGCGCAAUGCCAAGCUGCAGCUGGGUGACCACAUACUUUUGGUCAUGUAGUGUACCUACUGACAUUUUGGAAGCUGAUAGAUUAUGUUUAGUUAAAAUAUGAGACAAUAGUUGUAAUCAGAAGAUACUAUUAACAUGUAAAUAUUAUUGGUUACAGAAUAAAUAAGAAUAAAUAACUGCAGAUUAAAUAAUGCUGUAAUUGACAAUUGUACACCGAAUUUAGGCUACUGGCCCUUUAAGAGCUAGAAUAGAUGUUGUACCCUAUGUUGUGGUUCUCACCAGAUAUAUUGUCUUCUCACACUAUUCAACCCCCAAUAAAAUAAACAGCUUCUGAAGUGCUCUCAGCCUAUAGAUCACAUAUUGCACACAAAUAAUCUGAACUAAAAACUCCACACAUAUUUAGGAAUUUCUGUGCAUCCUUGACAAUCGCUAAUCAAUAUAAAAAAAAACAGCACACAUUUUAUUCUGCACAUCAUCUUUUCUCUUUUGUGGCACCAAUGGAAACAGUGUUGCAGUAGUCUAGUGUGAGGGGUUAUAGCAGGGAAAACAGUGUUGCAGUAGUCUAGUGUGAGGGGUUAUGGCAGUAGUCUAGUGUGAGGGGUUAUAGCAGGGGAAACAGUGUUGCAGUAGUCUAGUGUGAGGGGUUAUAGCAGGGGAAACAGUGUUGCAGUAGUCUAGUGUGAGGGGUUAUAGCAGUAGUCUAGUGUGAGGGGUUANNNNNNNNNNNNNNNNNNNNNNNNNNNNNNNNNNNNNNNNNNNNNNNNNNNNNNNNNNNNNNNNNNNNNNNNNNNNNNNNNNNNNNNNNNNNNNNNNNNNUGACAGGGGAAACGGUGUUGCAGUAGUCUAGUGUGAGGGGUUAUAGCAGGGGAAACAGUGUUGCAGUAGUCUAGUGUGAGGGGUUAUAGCAGGGGAAACAGUGUUGCAGUAGUCUAGUGUGAGGGGUUAUGACAGGGGAAACAGUGUUGCAGUAGUCUAGUGUGAGGGGUUAUGUCAGUAGUCUAGUGUGAGGGGUUAUAGCAGGGGAAACAGUGUUGCAGUAGUCCAGUGUGAGGGGUUAUAGCAGGGAAAACAGUGUUGCAGUUGUCUAGUGUGUGGUGCAGGAAUAUUGACAAGGGAACCUGGGGAACUUUGUGUUCACAUUGCCCUAACACUCCUUUGGAGUGUUCACACUGCCCUAACACUCCUUUGGAGUGUUCACACUGCCCUAACACUCCAAAGGAGUGUUCACACUGCCCUAACACUCCAAAGGAGUGUUCACACUGCACAAAAAAAGGUGGGAAACACUGUGAUAUUCGACUGAUAUCAUCCCUCCUGUUGUAAUAGUGUGAAACGUUUAAAUCAUGAAAUAAUCUACAGCCCUCUGGGGAGGGAGAUGCCAGACAGAUAGUUUGUGUCCCAAAUGGCACCCUAUUCCUUUUGUAGUGCUCUACUUUUGACCAAGGCCCAUAGGGCUCAGCAUAGGGAACAGGGUCCCAUUUAAGAUUCAGCUAUAGGGGUAUCUGGUAUCUGGUGCUCAGGAACAAAGGUGUUAUGUUAGUAGUUAUUAGGAGGAGCCAGGAGUUUUUCCUUAAUAUGUGACCUGACUAUAGAAACCAUCAGGUCCUAGUUAUAGCUAUGUAGUUUAUAACUAGGGCCCAUAGUUUUUCCUAGUAAUAUCCAAACAUCCGGACAAAUGUAUAUUAUUAAUAUCAGACAGCUGGGUAACAUGAACAACACUUCAAGGAAAAUGUUACGGACAGCUGUUCUACGGGCUGGAUAAAUGAAAUCCAUCAUGGGCUUUUGUUUUGGUAUCAUUAAAGAAGCCGAGCAGCUUUUUAUAUUCUAAACCCUUUUUAUUUAACCUCUGACCCCUUUUACUACCAUGAAUAGUAGCUCUGCUGUUGAUGUUGACAUAAAGAGAUAAACUCUCAAGUCUGUUUAGUUCUGUUGACCUUCUGCUAAACCCUGUUCUGUGUGUGUGUGUGUGUGUGUGUGUGUGUGUGUGUGUGUGUGUGUGUGUGUGUGUGUGUGUGUGUGUGUGUGUGUGUGUGUGNNNNNNNNNNUGACAGGGGAAACGGUGUUGCAGUAGUCUAGUGUGAGGGGUUAUAGCAGGGGAAACAGUGUUGCAGUAGUCUAGUGUGAGGGGUUAUAGCAGGGGAAACAGUGUUGCAGUAGUCUAGUGUGAGGGGUUAUGACAGGGGAAACAGUGUUGCAGUAGUCUAGUGUGAGGGGUUAUGUCAGUAGUCUAGUGUGAGGGGUUAUAGCAGGGGAAACAGUGUUGCAGUAGUCCAGUGUGAGGGGUUAUAGCAGGGAAAACAGUGUUGCAGUUGUCUAGUGUGUGGUGCAGGAAUAUUGACAAGGGAACCUGGGGAACUUUGUGUUCACAUUGCCCUAACACUCCUUUGGAGUGUUCACACUGCCCUAACACUCCUUUGGAG
rnacentral:lncRNA from 13 species